rnacentral:piRNA from 1 species
UACAACAGAGAAUGUUUGCAUGCCUGUCC